GAGCGAGACCGGAAGCUGCGGAGACCCGGGAAGACCGCCACGCCCUCCCACAAGAGGGCGUCUGCGUCACACCAGCUGUGAGGUCCUGGGCAAGUCAUAAAGCUCUUUGUGCCUCAGUUUCCAUAUCUGAAAAAUGAGGAUAAUAAUAGUGUCUACUUUAUUUGACUGGCCUGGGGAUUUAAGGAGGUAAUACCGGAAAGUGUUUAAAGCAAUUUCUAGCACAAAGGAAACACAGCAAUUGUGAGCAAUUCUUAUGUCUUUGGCCGUGACUGGUGGACUCCGGGCCUCAGCCCCAGUGGCAAAUGUCGUGCUGCCCUGUUGUGCUGUUCUUUAAUAUUGUGCCUGGCUGGUGCUGGGUGCAGCGGAUCCUGGGUGCCUGCUUCUUGCAGAACCUGGAGAGAACAGCGAGGACUGGACUUACCGGCUGACCCAGCAAAUUGGGACCGUGCACGUGAAUCCAAGUGGGAAUGUGUGGAAGUUCUUUGUGUUUGACUGUGAGCAUCCGUAUGUGUUCUCCUUGGAGGUUCACCCACCAGAAAACUGGGAUCAGCAGGAAGAACUUGCACACGCGCCUGGAGGAAUCCAGAACCACUGUUACUCUUGGAGUCGCAUCUCUGAUGUCUUCGGCGAUUUCCAAGAAGGAGACAACUCCUCAGUGAGAGUUCCUGGCUGGGAGGGCGGCUGGCAGUGCGAUGCCAGUAAGGGCCGGGCUGGCAGCGUGUGUGAAAUUCUGGUGCUAGGGAGCUGCCGGGAUUUGUGCUCCUACAUCAUUAAGACCAAAGGAGCUGAAGAAGAAAAGAGAGAUGGUCUUCAUUAAAGAUGAUCACAGUCAUCACACCUCACUGUCACCACGGACAAUCUGCAGGAGGAUGAUGCUGACAUACACUGGUGUGCCGUAGAAAAAUGCUUGAGGGAACUGGGGGGCCCAGUGGAAAUCAUGGUGGCUUCAGCAGACACGUGUGCAGGGCAUUUUGUGCCCUGGGAUGGCGUGUUCUAGGAUCACUGGGAAGAACGUGGAGAUGCUUCUCUUUCAGUGAAGAUCCUGGGCCUUGUCGUGGGUUUCCAAAGGACCCUGUUCCCUGUAGGACCAAGAACCAAAUCCUAGACCUCAUCGAAUCUCUCCUGAUUUUGUCUCUCUCUUGCAUAACGUUGGGGGAGAUGAUUUCCAGCAAGCAUGCCUGGAAAGGAGAUCUAUCGGCAUUGCUUGUGUGGCUCAUUUUCUUGACAAACUUGGGUUCCUGUAGUGUGUGGUGACCACGUGUCUUAUGGUGACCAUCCUGAGUGUUGACCACUUCCAGUUGCAUAAGAAGGUGGGAGAGGAGCAGCAAGGAGGAGGAGUGUGGUGUGAAGGCUGAUCCUGGCGGGUUUGAGCUCAAACCCCAGCUCUUCCUUCAUGAGCUGUGAGACCCUGAGAGAACCACUCCUCAGAACCUGUUUUUGCAUCUGUUCGUGGGGUUGCUCAUGACACCCAAUUCAUAGGGUUGAAGGGAUUAAACUGGAAUGACCAUCAAAAGCACUUUGAGUGGUGCCUGACAAUAUUCCUCUUCCUUGGCCAACUGCUUAAAUGCCAGGGUCCUCAACACCCGUGCCUUCUUCCUGGUCUGCAGCAGAGAUUCUCUCAGGUCCUUGCUCAUCAGCCUCCCCUCCCUGCUCCUGCUCCUGCUGAAGGUGGCCCCGCUCCUGGGCCUGCUCUGUGCUGUGAUCUGGGUGAACCUCAGAAAGGUGGCUGAGGGGAGGCUUCUUUCUCCAGUGUCCAUGGACCUCUGGAGUCCACCUGGAGUUGUCCUGCUUCCUGGUUCAUCGGACAUGACUGGGCGCGUCUGAAUGCCAGCUCCGGACAGUCUGAGCUGGGACACCUGAUACGUUUGUAUGAAGUGGUGGUCUGGUGACUAAUGUCAAGAUGACCUAUUUCUGCGGGGCAACUAGUGUCUCAAACUAGUUCUGGAGGUCUGCUUGGAGGUCCUUAUGUCUUCUCACAUGGUUUUGGAAGGUAAUUAUCAGCCGAAUGCUGAGCCCUGCCUCUGGUUGCCAGGUAGACGGACAUUCAUCCAUCCAUCCACUCAUUGAUUCAUCUGUUCACACAGCACACAUUUACUGAGCAGCUAUUAUGAGCCAGUCACUGUACUAAGUGCUGGGAAUAUUAAGGUGAAUUCUGGAGGGGUUUCUAGUCUUAUUGGAGAGGGGAACAUAACCUCACCCCCGUUUCUGGUUGGGUUCAGUGAACGGGCAGUAGGGGGUAGGAGGGCAGGAAGAAAGAAAGCUGCCUCCCUGCCGGGUUGGGAGUGUCUGCACCUCCCCACCAAGGGCCUCAGCCCCUGCCAGGUAUUCCUUUCCCUCAGCCCCUGCUGGUGGUCUUCCCCUUCAGCCCUCCUGGGUAGUCUUUCCCUCAGCCCUGAUGGAUGGUCGCUCCCUCAACUGCUGCUGGCUGGUCUCUCUUAAGGCUCAUGUCAGGUUCUGGUUAUUGCCCCCCUCCAUCCCUUA
ensembl:lncRNA